rnacentral:lncRNA from 1 species
CUGAAAAAAAUUCAUUUAUAAACAUAAAUAGUGUCUGCGUGUGUCUGUCUUCUCUAAUUCCUUUCAUUUUUUCUCACUUAGCAAAUAGGAGCAGAAGAAAACUGACAAGAAGAUCAUCAUAAUAUGCUUCCGUUUCUGUUCAACGCAGUAAGUUUUUAGCCUAUAAAUCUUGUAGUCUUAAUAAUGCUAAACCAUUCUAAACACAAAGAAUUGAAAAUAGGAAUCUUAGACUCGAAAACUUUCUAAAUACAAAGAAGUGACAUUUGUUUUUAGACAAACUCAAGAGGAAAGUCAGUCACAUUAACUCAACAAAGGGAGUGUGCCACUUGGAAUAAUGGACACAACUCACUAGACUAAACUGAUAAUAGUAUGAAAUCGUUUUUUUUUUUUUUUGUUUUAGCUAGUAGAUUUGACCAAGAGGCUCGUAUCACUAAGUAAAGCAGUAAAGCAUUUUGUAAAAUCUUACUUCAUAGCAACAACAAUAACUAGCUUAUCUUCACAUUUGUUGCUCCUGUUAGUGACUUGAUAGUGCUAUAAUUAUUCUUAUUCAGUAUAGUCAUUUUCUUGCAGGGUGAAUCGAUACCUUUCUUACCUUACAAGCACAGAUUGACAGAUACAGAUCAGUUUAGGCUUUUACGGGGAUUGAUCAAUUUUUGUUAGUAGAAAACAUUGAUUAAUAUUCCUUCUGGAAAUAAAAGGUAUACAUUUAAAAGCUAGACGACAGCUACUACUAACUGCUGAAUUUUUUUAUAGCACUAUAGUUCAUCUGUUUGAAUUUUAAACCAACAACAUAAUAUUACCCGUCCGAUGAAUUUAAACUCACAUAUUUCUAAAAAAGAAAAAUUUCAUAUAUACACAUACAUAGUUUCUGUGUGUGGCUGUGUUCUCCAACUCCUCUAGAAAGUUGUUGACUUCACUGGAUUAAUCAUCAGAAUACACUCAUCGUUACACCACUUCUUUAGCCUUCAUUCGUUAAUAAUUGCUGAAUUAAACAGUUCUGCUAUCAGACAUCAGAGGGAUCAAAUCAAACUGCAUAAUGCAUUUGUUGUCCUGCACAACUACCCUUCUAAGGCUAAAGUAGCAUCAAUUGUCAUCUUGGUAUAAAAUACAUAGUUGUCAUUUAAAGGUUAAAACUAAUUAUAAUAACAAAAAUCAAUUAUCCACCACUUCAACCUUUAAAAUAUCUAGGCAUCACAAAAUAGAAAAUUAACGUUCAUAUUUCGCAAUCAUCGGGUGGCUGGUUCUCCUUGCCCCUUUCUUGCCAUCAUCUUGAUACGUUUUUUCCUCACUCCAUUUUGUAACUGGCUUGAUGUAACGACUUUCUUUCUCAUCAAUUUUUAUUUUGCCUUUGCCCUUGUUUGGAAUCUGCCCAGCCCCUUUUUUUUUGGGCCUUUGCCCUUGUUUAAAUUAUUUGAUCAUAAGUGUGGGAAGACA